UACGUAGGGUGCAAGCGCUGUCCGGAAUUAUUGGGCGUAAAGAGCUCGUAGGCGGUUUGUCGCGUCUGCUGUGAAAUCCCGAGGCUCAACCUCGGGCCUGCAGUGGGUACGGGCAGACUAGAGUGCGGUAGGGGAGAUUGGAAUUCCUGGUGUAGCGGUGGAAUGCGCAGAUAUCAGGAGGAACACCGAUGGCGAAGGCAGAUCUCUGGGCCGUAACUGACGCUGAGGAGCGAAAGCGUGGGGAGCGAACAGG
rnacentral:rRNA from 1 species